rnacentral:rRNA from 1 species
GUUACUAUAGCAAAGAGGAUACACCUGUUCCCAUUCCGAACACAGAAGUUAAGCUCUUUAGCGCCGAUGGUACUUGGUGGGAAGCUGCCUGGGAGAGUAGGACGUA